CCCACCCUCUGCCCCUCAUCUCUCUCUUCCCUAUUUCCGUGAAACUCUAGCAGCCGCCUUAGUUUUCCUUCGCCUCUCUCUACAAAAAAUGGCAAGUUUACAGAGCUUUGCUAACAUAGACAUAUUGCAUGCCCAUUGUGGUGAAAAUAUUAAAAGUUUUACUCGAUUCCAUGAUUCUUUUACCCGAAUAUGCCACUUGGGCCGAGGUCCAGCCACCUUAUUGGGUCAAAGGCCCAAUAGGGAAAAUUCUUUCAAGUGUAGUUGAGUCCAAAAGAGAAGAAAAGAAGGCCCAAACAUAGGUAAAAAUGAAAUGAAGGCCCAACUAUGGGUGAAAAUGGUUGGGGUUUGGUACACCCCAAUUUACUUUCUUUAGUCUAUUUAUGUCUUUUCUGUUUGGUUCAAGUGUUUCUUGUAUUGUAUUCGUAUUUGUAAAAACCCACAAACAUUAUUGGAAUCACUUAUAU